GACGAACGCUGGCGGCGUGCCUAAUGCAUGCAAGUCGAGCGGACUUGAUGGAGCUUGCUCCUGAUAGUCAGCGGCGGACGGGUGAGUAACACGUGGGCAACCUGCCUGUAAGACUGGGAUAACUUCGGGAAACCGGAGCUAAUACCGGAUACGUUCUUUUCUCGCAUGAGAGAAGAUGGAAAGACGGUUUCGGCUGUCACUUACAGAUGGGCCCGCGGCGCAUUAGCUAGUUGGUGGGGUAAUGGCUCACCAAGGCGACGAUGCGUAGCCGACCUGAGAGGGUGAUCGGCAAGACUGGGACUGAGACACGGCCCAGACUCCUACGGGAGGCAGCAGUAGGGAAUCUUCCGCAAUGGACGAAAGUCUGACGGAGCAACGCCGCGUGAGUGAAGAAGGUUUUCGGAUCGUAAAACUCUGUUGUCAGGGAAGAACAAGUACCAUAGUAACUGAUGGUACCUUGACGGUACCUGACCAGAAAGCCACGGCUAACUACGUGCCAGCAGCCGCAGUAAAAC
rnacentral:rRNA from 1 species